UACGGGAGGCAGCAGUGGGGGAUAUUGCACAAUGGGCGAAAGCCUGAUGCAGCAACGCCGCGUGAGGGAAGAAGGUUUUCGGAUUGUAAACCUCUGUCCAAAGGGAAGAAACAAAUGACGGUACCUUUGGAGGAAGCUCCGGCUAACUACGUGCCAGCAGCCGCGGUAAU
rnacentral:rRNA from 1 species